rnacentral:misc_RNA from 1 species
GUCAUUUUGAAAUUACAACUCUAUUCCUGAGGAGCAUAUAUGUUGACUAAAGAACACUUGUUGCCUUUGUAUGCAUACCACCAACCAAACACAGUGCUAGGUUUCCUUGCUUUGCUUGUAGAUGUACAGUAAUCUUGUAUCAUGCUUACACACUGCUUCCUACUUUCUAAGGGAUAGUGUCAUUGUUUUUGUUGACUACUGAACUCUUCAAAUUGCUAUAUUCAUUAUUUAAUUUCGAAAGGUUAUUUAGUUAUACAUGAUGGACAGAAUGUCAGGUAAAACAACAUUGCUUACUUUUGUAUGUAUACUUCUGUUUUUG